GUCAGAUAGGAGUCCAUCAAGCUGAUUCAAACUUUCACUAUAGUGAGAGAUGUUCAGGGAUAGUUAUCUGGAGACAUCAGACCAUCCUCUCCUUCUAGCUAGUCUGGAUCUUUAUCUUAGGAUUACCCUGAUCUAUCCUUACUAAGGAUGCUAGGAUUUAAUUCUUAGAUCUUUAGUGACCCUAACAAUCUACUUUUUGAUAGAUAUAGAUUGCAUACAUUUUAGAUGUAUAGAUGUUUA
rnacentral:lncRNA from 1 species